GAUGAACUAAGGGAUGCUGUUCUGCUUGUAUUUGCCAACAAACAAGAUCUUCCUAAUGCAAUGAAUGCCGCCGAGAUAACUGAUAAGCUUGGUCUUCAUUCUCUCCGUCAACGUCACUGGUAAGUUAUUGAUAUACGGUGGGAGUCUACUGAUUAGUCUCUCUCUUGAGCUGGGAAAAACUUUCACCUUGAUUUAAAUACGGAUGGUUCAACUUAAACGAAUGAGUUCUUGAACAUCAAUGCUAAGAUCUUGGGCAAAAGUUGAAUACUGGAUAUAAUUGUUGUUCUUUUUCCAGGUACAUCCAGAGUACUUGUGCAACCUCUGGAGAGGGCUUGUACGAGGGGUUGGACUGGCUUUCCAACAACAUUGCUAGCAAGGUAAUAAAUUCAUUGUUUUGUUUAGAAUAUCAUCUCAUGGUAUUAUUUCUGGAAUCUAUUACGGUGAAUCCCUCAUAAAACAUGACGGAUUAGAUUUUUUUUAUUAGCAAGAUACCAUCCAUAUUUGAAUUCUAUAUUUCUGACGGCCCCCUCUCUCGUUCUUUACAGGCAUGAGAGAAUUGAGGCCAAGGAGUUUGGUUGCUUGCCUUGGAGAUUCUGGGGAAGGAUAGUUUUCUUUAUUUCGAUGAAUGUUGUAAUAGCAGAAUGUUUUGGAGAAACUCUCUCUGAAUUCGUGUGUGUGUUUGCUACUCUAGCUAUACUGUUUAGCUGUAAACGAAGUUUCUAUGUCGUUACCUUUGUUUUGACACAUGAGCCAAGGUUAUAUUUUAUCGUGUUUGCUUCAUUAAUCUGUUUGAUUUUUACGAUGAAUUGGAUUCGAUAACUUGUUAGAUUCAAGGAUAGUUGAAAUAAAAGGGACCUUUGAAUUUUGUCCAGGUUGAUUUUGUUUGAGAACU
rnacentral:lncRNA from 1 species